CCUACGGGAGGCAGCAGUGAGGAAUAUUGGGCAAUGGGCGAAAGCCUGACCCAGCCACGCCGCGUGAGUGAUGAAGGCCUUCGGGUCGUAAAGCUCUGUGGAGAGGGACGAAAACCCUGGUUUCAAAUAGGCUCCAGGCUUGACGGUACCUCUUUAGCAAGCACCGGCUAACUCUGUGCCAGCAGCCGCGGUAAUACAGAGGGUGCAAACGUUGCUCGGAUUUACUGGGCGUAAAGCGCGUGUAGGCGGGUUCGCAAGUCGGACGUGAAAUCCCU
rnacentral:rRNA from 1 species